CCGGCGGAGGCGUGUGCGUGCGCAGCGCUGUGGUAACUGCUGUCGCCGGCAACGCCACACAAGGGUGGGGCCUCAACUGGGUGGGCGGCGGGUUUUCCCUCCUUAUCGGGCCAGCCAGGGGGAAACCGAAUCCACGGGAGACCCUCGCUGCCGGAGGUCAUCACAGAGAAUGAAUCAAGAAACGGGUGGACCGUGGAGAUCAAACCACCCCCCUUGAUCCAGCCAUUUAAGUGGUCCUCUCUGCCUUUGCCAUAAGAUGCCAAGAUGACCCAGCAUAAGGAAAUUAGCUUCUGCUUUCCUUACUGGACAUGCCUGUAAAUUACUGGAUGCAUGUCUGAAAAAAAACUCAUGCUGGAAGCUGGUGGCAUUCACACAUCCUUGCAAAGAGGAAUUAAAAAGCAACAUGCCUCUCUGGGAGAGGAUAACUGCAUUUUAGAGAAGUUCAUGCAGAGAAAAGGAAGAUCUCAACUGACUUCAUUGUAUGAUUUUGGGAGGAUACACUAA
rnacentral:lncRNA from 1 species